rnacentral:rRNA from 1 species
AGAAUCAACGCUGGCGGCGUGCCUAACACAUGCAAGGUCGAACGAGAAAGUGGAGCAAUCCAUGAGUAAAGUGGCGCACGGGUGAGUAACACGUGACUAACCUACCCUUGAGUGGGGGAUAACCUAGGGAAACCUGGGCUAAUACCGCAUAAUACCUUCGGGUCAAAGGAGCAAUUCGCUUAAGGAGGGGGUCGCGGCCGAUUAGUUAGUUGGCGGGGUAAUGGCCCACCAAGACGAUGAUCGGUA